ACGGGUGAGUAAUGUCUGGGAAACUGCCUGAUGGAGGGGGAUAACUACUGGAAACGGUAGCUAAUACCGCAUAACGUCGCAAGACCAAAGAGGGGGACCUUCGGGCCUCUUGCCAUCAGAUGUGCCCAGAUGGGAUUAGCUAGUAGGUGGGGUAAUGGCUCACCUAGGCGACGAUCCCUAGCUGGUCUGAGAGGAUGACCAGCCACACUGGAACUGAGACACGGUCCAGACUCCUACGGGAGGCAGCAGUGGGGAAUAUUGCACAAUGGGCGCAAGCCUGAUGCAGCCAUGCCGCGUGUAUGAAGAAGGCCUUCGGGUUGUAAAGUACUUUCAGCGAGGAGGAAGGCAUUAAGGUUAAUAACCUUAGUGAUUGACGUUACUCGCAGAAGAAGCACCGGCUAACUCCGUGCCAGCAGCCGCGGUAAUACGGAGGGUGCAAGCGUUAAUCGGAAUUACUGGGCGUAAAGCGCACGCAGGCGGUCUGUCAAGUCGGAUGUGAAAUCCCCGGGCUCAACCUGGGAACUGCAUUCGAAACUGGCAGGCUAGAGUCUUGUAGAGGGGGGUAGAAUUCCAGGUGUAGCGGUGAAAUGCGUAGAGAUCUGGAGGAAUACCGGUGGCGAAGGCGGCCCCUGGACAAAGACUGACGCUCAGGUGCGAAAGCGU
rnacentral:rRNA from 1 species